rnacentral:rRNA from 1 species
AUGGAGAGAUUGCCUGCGCUGCAUCUGGCAGUGGUGUCUCUGCUCGGCUUCUGCUGCCUCAUCCAUGCUUCAAGGGCUGCCAUUUCAUUCUCAGCUGGUAAUCAUCUCAUGCCAUCUAGAGAUUUUGUUAUAUUGUUCUGCCUGAUUGAGAGGACGAUUUUAUUCCCAUAUGCACCAGCGGCCCCGAGGGAGCAGCUGCAGAAGACCGACGCAAUCCCAGCUUCCAGUGGAGCAGAUGGUCAGGCUGUCGUAGCGGGAGAGGUAGACCGCGGUGCUGUCAGCAGGAGGAUGGAGAUGGAGAUGCAGCUGGAGGACUACCCGGGGUCCGGCCCCAACGACCACCACUCGCCGUGGUGGCGGCAGGAGAGGAGGAAUUGA